CACGUAGGGGGCGAGCGUUGUCCGGAUUUAUUGGGCGUAAAGAGCUCGUAGGCGGCUCGGUAAGUCGGGUGUGAAACCUCCAGGCUCAACCUGGAGACGCCACUCGAUACUGCCGUGGCUAGAGUCCGGUAGAGGAGCGUAGAAUUCCUGGUGUAGCGGUGAAAUGCGCAGAUAUCAGGAGGAAUACCAGCGGCGAAGGCGGCGCUCUGGGCCGGUACUGACGCUGAGGAGCGAAGGCCAGGGGAGCAAACGGG
rnacentral:rRNA from 1 species